rnacentral:sRNA from 1 species
UUUAUUCUCAAAGUGCUUUUUAUUUUGCUGUUCGUUUGAACCCUGGGGAAUGCUGUGUGGCAGGUGGCAUUCCCAGUUCCUUUCUCAGGUCAGAAAACAGGCUCAGGAAGGUGACACUCGGUGUGUCCACGCUUGUGGCCAAACUCCAAUGGGUUCCCCUCCUCAUUCCUACCCCUGAGCGGCCCCCAGAAUCGGUCUGGUUGGGGAUGAGACUGUGAGAGCAGAGGGCAAAGGGGCAAGGCCUCUUGCUUCGGGGUGGAAAGAGGGGUGACACAACAGACGAGCUGGGGCAGGGCCUCUGCAGAUGGAGGGCCCAGGUGUGCCCCCGUGAGCGGCCCACGUGUCCUGGAGUCGCUCUAGGCGCACGUGGGGGAAAUGGGGCCCAGAGCUCCGCCUCAGGCCUCCGCUCUCUCCCCAGCGAGGGCAGCGUCAUCGCCUACUACUGGUCUGAGUUCAGUAUCCCGCAGCACCUGGUGGAGGAGGCCGAGCGCGUCAUGGCCGAGGAGCGCGUAGUCAUGCUGCCCCCGCGGGCGCGCUCCCUGAAGUCCUUUGUGGUCACCUCAGUGGUGGCUUUCCCCACUGACCCCAAAACAGUACAGAGGACCCAGGACAACAGCUGCAGCUUUGCCCUGCACGCCCGCGGUGUGGAGCUGAUGCGCUUCACCACGCCCGGCUUCCCUGACAGCCCCUACCCCGCUCAUGCCCGCUGCCAGUGGGCCCUGCGGGGAGAUGCCGACUCAGUGCUGAGCCUCACCUUCCGCAGCUUUGACCUUGCGUCCUGUGAUGAGCGCGGCAGCGACCUGGUGAUGGUGUACAACACCCUGAGCCCCAUGGAGCCCCACGCCCUGGUGCAGUUGUGUGGCACCUACCCUCCCUCCUACAACCUGACCUUCCACUCCUCCCAGAACGUCCUGCUCAUCACACUGAUCACCAACACCGAGCGGCGGCAUCCCGGCUUCGAGGCCACCUUCUUCCAGCUGCCUAAGAUGGGCAGCUGUGGAGGCCGCUUACGUAAAGCCCAGGGGACAUUCAACAGCCCCUACUACCCAGGCCACUACCCACCCAACAUUGACUGCACGUGGAACAUUGAGGUGCCCAACAACCAGCAUGUGAAGGUGCGCUUCAAAUUCUUCUACCUGCUGGAGCCCGGCGUGCCUACGGGCACCUGCCCCAAGGACUACGUGGAGAU